rnacentral:rRNA from 1 species
CCCUUAGAUGUUCUGGGCCGCACGCGUGCUACACUGAGUGGAUCAGCGGGUCAGGUUACGCGAGAGCGUUUCCUAAUCUUCAAAUCCGCUCGUGAUGGGGAUUGACGGUUGCAAUUUUCCGUCAUGAACGAGGAAUACCUUGUAAGCGCGGGUCAUCAUCCCGCGCUGAAUACGUCCCUGCCCUUUGUACACACCGCCCGUCGCUCCUACCGAUUGAGUGGUCCGGUGAGGCUUUGGGAUCUAAGCGAAAGGAGCGUUUCGCUCCUUUUGCUGGGAGAACUCAGUCGAACCUUAUCAUUUAGAGGAAGGAGAAGUCGUAACA